CAUUGUAGCUACGUUACAAAUAUUUCUCAAGUCAAGUAACUUUAGCUAGGUAGUUGCCUAGCUAGCUAGGCUAGUUUCUACAUGUAUCCGCGUUCCGCUAGGCGGCACAGGAAGAAAGCUGACUUAAGGAAUUUGAGCUUGGCACAGAUGAGGCAGAAAGAGUGAAGCUAGUGUUAAUAAACAAAACAAAAUAAUUGGGUGUAUGGCAGACAGACAGUGCUCAGGGUGAGAGCUGUGCCUGUACUGAAGUGUCACAUUGAGCUUGCUGAAGUGGACUUAUCUCCUACCAUCCCUUCUCGCAUCUCACUCUUUCCUGGAUCCAGACAGGGCUGAGAGUCACACUCAUCCAGCCCUCCUCACACCAGAGAGGCCUCUCUCCUCUGGGCUCAGUCCCACACUAGACCCCCUCAACUAUACAUCUUCCUUACAGUUGGCAGAGUGCUUCAUGAUACUCAAGAUCAUGACUCAGAGAACAAAGGAACGUGGACACAAGGAUGCAUAAAGGUGAGAGAGUGCAUUGCAGGCAGGUGGUUACUCCUGUUCAGGGUGGCCAUAUAGUCAGAUUCCCCCAACCAAUCCAAGAAACCCUUCAACAUCACCUUUCCUUGCAGCAUUUGCAUUCAAAGUCCCAAUGAUGCAUCUGUCGAUUUAUUCAUCUAGUGUCCAUCUCCCUGUCUUCUGGUAGUCCUCUGCUUGGACUACUG